GGCUUAGACAAAGUAACAUUUUGAAAACGAUGACGAAGUUCGGCAAUAAAAAAAUGUAUGGGAUGACAUAAGCCUUCGCUAAAUCACGUGAUCGAUCGAGAUCGAUAACAAAAUUGGUAGACAAUGUUUACAUUCAUGUCGAAAACGAAACGAAAUCGUCAAUUAGCGAAUUGUUUAUUCGCCUAUUUCAAUACAAAUGCGUAGCCAAGCGGCACUUUUGACGUUCGCUUUCUCUUCGGGAGCGAUCGUUCGAUUCGACAUGUGUUCGCCAUAAUAACGAAAGCUUGGGGGCUGUCGAUAUCGCUACAAAAUGGCCGAAAAUUACAGUCAGCUGUGAUUUGUGUACAAGGGCUACGUUGCGUUAAUACAGUUUUAUUUAUAUAAAAAUGCAUUCUUUACGUUUAUUGUGGGCUGCACAUAAUGAGAAUACCUGGGUGAGGCGUCAAAGGCGAUUUUCAUCAAGAAGACAUAUGGAAACGAUUGAAGAUAUGCCGGAAUUGUUGUUUAUACAACAUUUCAGGCUUGAUAAAAAAACUUUUCGACGAUUAUGCGACGAACUAAAAAGAUAUACUGGAUUGAAAGGAUCCAAUGAAAUUUCCCUGGAAGUAAAGAUUCCAUAUAAGACAUAAUUUGCCUGGAAUUAUUGGGUGCAUUAAUUGUACCCAUAUAGCUAUAGUAAGACCAGAGGAGGAUGAAUAUUCAUUUUUUAAUAGAAAAGGAUAUCAUUCAUUAAAUGUUCAAGUGAUAUGCGAUUUCGAUUUAAAAAUAGUUAAUGUCAAUCCAAAAUUUGGUGGUGCUACACAUGACUCCCACAUAUGGUCCGCUAGUCAUGUAGAGACUUUCAUGCGAGGGCUUCAUGAAAGUGGUGAACAUGUUUGGUUAUUAGGGGAUUCUGGAUAUCCACAGCGACCUUGGUUGAUGACGCUUAUACUAGAUGCUGAACAAGGGUCCCAAGAAGAAAUAUAUACCAGACGUCAUGUGCAAGCCAGAUCUCGCAUAGAACGAUGUUUUGGAUUACUGAAGGCUCGUUGGAGGUGUAUGCUUUGACACCGUGUUCUUCACUAUCAGCCUUACGUGGCUAGCAGAAUUAUUAACGCAUGUUGUGUAUUGCAUAAUAUUGCAAUACAUGCUAAACUACCUGCUCCAACAGAUAUGCCAGCUGAGGCUCUUGAUGGUAGUGAAGAUCAAAGUAUACAGCAUAACACCUCUACAACCAACACUAAUCAAAACGAGUUAAUUCGAGGAAGGGCUAUGUGAAAUUAUCUAGUCAGUAGAAUGCAGCAUUCUACUGAAUAGAUAA